rnacentral:rRNA from 1 species
UAGAGUUUGAUCAUGGCUCAGAUUGAACGCUAGCGGGAUGCUUUACACAUGCAAGUCGAACGGCAGCGCGGGCUUUCGGGCCAGGCGGCGAGUGGCGAACGGGUGAGUAAUGUAUCGGAACGUGCCCAGUAGCGGGGGAUAACUACGCGAAAGCGUAGCUAAUACCGCAUACGCCCUACGGGGGAAAGGGGGGGAUCGCAAGACCUCUCACUAUUGGAGCGGCCGAUAUCGGAUUAGCUAGUUGGUGAGGUAUAGGCUCACCAAGGCGACGAUCCGUAGCUGGUUUGAGAGGACGACCAGCCACACUGGGACUGAGACACGGCCCAGACUCCUACGGGAGGCAGCAGUGGGGAAUUUUGGACAAUGGGGGCAACCCUGAUCCAGCCAUCCCGCGUGUGCGAUGAAGGCCUUCGGGUUGUAAAGCACUUUUGGCAGGGAAGAAAAGGCGCCGGCUAAUACCUGGCGCCGCUGACGGUACCUGCAGAAUAAGCACCGGCUAACUACGUGCCAGCAGCCGCGGUAAUACGUAGGGUGCAAGCGUUAAUCGGAAUUACUGGGCGUAAAGCGUGCGCAGGCGGUUCGGAAAGAAAGAUGUGAAAUCCCAGGGCUUAACCUUGGAACUGCAUUUUUAACUGCCGGGCUAGAGUAUGUCAGAGGGGGUAGAAUUCCACGUGUAGCAGUGAAAUGCGUAGAGAUGUGGAGGAAUACCGAUGGCGAACGCAGCCCCCUGGGAUAAUACUGACGCUCAUGCACGAAAGCGUGGGGAGCAAACAGGAUUAGAUACCCUGUUAGUCCACGCCCUAACGAUUGUCAACUAGCUUUUGGGGCCUUCAGGCCUUAGUAGCGCAGCUAACGCGUGAAGUUGACCGCCUUGGGGAGUACGGUCGCAAGAUUWAAACUYMAARGAWUUGACGGGGACCCGCACAAGCGGUGGAUGAUGUKGAUUWAUUCGAUGCAACGCGAAAAACCUUACCUACCCUUGACAUGUCUGGAAUGCCGAAGAGAUUUGGCAGUGCUCGCAAGAGAACCGGAACACAGGUGCUGCAUGGCUGUCGUCAGCUCGUGUCAUGAGAUGUUGGGUUAAGUCCCGCAACGAGCGCAACCCUUGUCAUUAGUUGCUACGAAAGGGCACUCUAAUGAGACUGCCGGUGACAAACCGGAGGAAGGUGGGGAUGACGUCAAGUCCUCAUGGCCCUUAUGGGUAGGGCUUCACACGUCAUACAAUGGUCGGGACAGAGGGUCGCCAACCCGCAAGGGGGAGCCAAUCCCAGAAACCCGAUCGUAGCCCGGAUUGGAGUCUGCAACUCGACUCCAUGAAGUCGGAAUCGCUAGUAAUCGCGGAUCAGAAUGUCGCGGUGAAUACGUUCCCGGGUCUUGUACACACCGCCCGUCACACCAUGGGAGUGGGUUUUACCAGAAGUAGUUAGCCUAACCGCAAGGAGGGCGAUUACCACGGUAGGAUUCAUGACUGGGGUGAAGUCGUAACAAGGUAGCCGUA